GUUUCAUAACCUCACUGUAGCCUCUUAAAAGUGUAGCUAUCAUCAUUUUCUGUUCUUUAAUAAGAGAACACUCCGAAGAAUUUCUCCCCAGCUCUUCUAUGUAUUAUUUUGUCAUUAAUUUUUUUUCCCUGAGAAAAUAUUACUGCCCUGUUAUCUUGAGGUCAGCCAAGAUAUCCCUUGUCCUGGGCUCCUGUUAAUGAGUCCAGAGUUGCACUGAGCCUUUUUUAAUUUUGACAGCCAGAUCUGCUCCAUCUAGUAUCCUAGUAGCCGACUGUUGGAACUGCAGGAUGGCACUUUACAUUGAUCUCUAGUAUGUUCUGUUUGUUACUCGAGGCAUGUUGUAGCCUGUCAGUAUUGUGAUUCAUUUGCCCAUUGUAUGAGCUCAUCUCCCCACCCUGAGUUGUCUGUAUUUGAGGCAACUCGUCCAUGUGGAGGCGACCCCCGCAGUGGCCCAAGAUCUUCCCUAAGGAGUGCUGCCAGCUUGUCAUCUUGAUUGCUCCCACUCUCCUGGAGAGUCAGCAAUUUUGACUAGUGUUUGGAAAAUUCUUUUAUCAGUGUCCUCAGCAACAAUGUGGGCUACCUAAGAGGUUCCAGGCUAGUCAUUCCUUUGAGACAACAUUUAGUGUUGAUCUGCUCACUACCACCUGGUAGGACUGCCCAGGACCCCAGGACACUGGCUUUAUUACAGUGCCAAUGAGGCACUCCGUCACAGCACUUGAAGCACUUCCCCCAAGAAACAUCAUUCUACUGAGUUGGAAUUGGAAGUACUAUUUCAGAGAAAUUAAUAGUCCAGUAUUGAGCUUUUUUUUUUUUUUUUUUUUUUGAGAUGGAGUUUCGCUCUUGUUGCCCAUGCUAGAGUGCGAUGGGGUGAUCUUGGCUCAUCGCAACCUUUGCCUCCCAGUUUCAAGUGAUUCUCCUGCCUCAGCCUCCGGAGUAGCUGGGAUUACAGGCAUGUGACACCACACCCAACUAAUUUUGUAUUUUUAGUAGACACAGAAGGUUUCUCCAUGUUGGCCAGGCUGGUCUUGAACUCCUGACCUCAAGUGAUCUGCCCGCUUGGCCUCCCAAAGUGCUGGGAUUAUAGGCAUGAGCCACCACGCCUGGCCGUGAGCUUUCCUUUUUCAUUAUCAUUGCGUCCCCCUAUAGUCAUUAUCUUUAGUAUUUAACUUUGCUUUUUAGAUUAUAGAAGAAAUCACAUGUAUUAUUUCCAUUCCAAAGGAAAUUGUUUUGAAAGAGCACCUGCAGAAGAUACACAUAAACAUAGGCAGAGCAUUUUAUUCCUAAAUGUUUUUGCUAAGUGCCCACAUGUUGCUUUUCUCCUCUUUGCUUUUUCCACAUGAUUUAUUCUUGACUUCUGGGGUGGCAGCCAGGAGCGGGAUCAAGAAAGGUUGCAAGAGAAGAUGGAGAUAAUUAUUUUGCUUGUGAGAAGUUCAGUCUGCAUGCUUUUUUGGUAAUAUUAAAAAUAUCUGUGGGAAAGUCUUGCUAUAAGUAUUUAAAAUGUGCUUCAGACAAAAUUCUUCUAUGUUCCAAGGACCAUCCGUGAUGACCAUGAGCUGCACAUACACCCUGCGUCAGUCCUCUAUGCAGAGAAGCCGCCUCGCUGCUCAUGUUUCUUUCUCAUUUCAGGGUUAUCUAUAACGAAGUUAUACAAACCUCCAAGUAUUACAUGAGAGAUGUGACUGCCAUUGAAUCGGCCUGGCUGUUGGAGCUGGCUCCACACUUUUAUCAACAAGGAACGCACCUGUCUCUGAAAGCCAAAAGGGCCAAGGUCCAGGACCAGUGAGAGGAGCCCACAGCCGUGGCUGCAGGGACUGCUGGUGUCCUCUCCUCCAUGCUGCUGCCCCUGGCCCCAGGUGGGGUGAGCUGGCACAAGCUCCUGUGGAAUGUUUGGUUGCUCUGAAGGGGGCUGCGGCCUGUUCAUUAGUCCUUUCUUCCCGCUGCCCACAGCAUUUGCGUCCUUGCUGGGAUCCUGGAGGACUUUGUGCAUGGGCAGGCAUCCUUCUGUGCUGCAGCGGGCAGAGUGGGAGUUGGCUCACUCAGCACUCUCACUAACCCAGCAUGCCACUUCCAGCAGGCACGCAGCCCUGGCCCAGCUCUAUGGGUAACAAGCAGGAAAGUUAGCCACUGAAGGUCGAAACACCAUGUGGGGUGGACAGAGCGUUUGCUGGGCUGGCUUUGCUUUCCCUCCUGGGGCCACGGCUGUGUUAACCAAUGAGGUCCGCUGCCAGGUGUGAACAAGCGUGUCGCUAUGAAGGAACAAAACAUUGGGGAUCUCUGCCGAAACCACCAAGGGGCAUGUCUGAUGGGCACAGGGGCUCCCAAACCCACUGGCUUCUGUCUUUCCUCAGCCCAUGUCCCUGUUUUUCUGCAGCCAGGAGACUUGCAAGGGAUUGGUGAUUGACAGAGAGGACUCAUGCGCUGUUUUGUGUUAGCCGAGGAUUUGUGUUUCACAAGUGGGCUUAGCGUCCUCUCAGAGUGCAGUGCCAGGUCCUGGUGCCACGCUAGCUGAGCACUCAGGAGAGUUCAUCAGCUCAGAUCCCACAGGGCCUCCUCUUUAGCAGGAAUUCACAACAGUUUGGAUGCCCUAAACUUCUGUAGCUCAGGAACAUCACUGGUUUAUUUGUUUUUUUGUUUGUUUGGGUUCUUGCAAGAGCGCGCGGGGGCGGUUCUUCCAGCAGGCACUGGUUUUGUUGCCCCGGGGCUGCUUUGCUGUGAUGAUGAUUACAUUUCAACACAUGCCAGAUGCAGAUUUUUUCCCUUACUGUUUCAAUGACCUUUAUUUUAAAAACACAUAGCUUGAACAUUUAUUUUUAUACUGAUAUUAGUUUGGAUGUGCCACUUUUGGCACCAAACGUGUAUGUCAUUUUUAUUUCCAUUUUAUAAACAUGUAAAUAAUAGUGAUAACUUGUUAAUAAUAGUAAACCUUUCUACCUAAAGUAAAUGUCUUCCCUCCCACA
rnacentral:sRNA from 1 species